AGUCCUUUGACCUGAGGCAUCACAGUUGUCUUGUGGUUAAGUCCUUGAUCUUUGAUUCUGUCAAAGUCACCCCAUCGGGGUGUCCACGGCAUCGUUGGGGUUAAGCCACUUAGUCAUGGAGACAAGUGAAUGUGCAACAAGGGAUCUCUAACCUUCAAACCGUUUGAGGGAGAAUACUCUAUGAUAUGAUUUAGAAUCUCUGGCC
rnacentral:lncRNA from 1 species